rnacentral:rRNA from 1 species
GACGAACGCUGGCGGCGUGCUUAACACAUGCAAGUCGAACGGUGAAGCGCCUUCCUUUUUGGUGGGUGUGGAUGAGUGGCGAACGGGUGAGUAACACGUGAGUAACCUGCCCCCUUCUUCUGGAUAACCGCAUGAAAGUGUGGCUAAUACGGGAUAUUCUGGGUCUGUCGCAUGAUGGGUCUGGGAAAGAUCUUGUUUCGGUGGGGGAUGGGCUCGCGGCCUAUCAGCUUGUUGGUGGGGUGAUGGCCUACCAAGGCGGUGACGGGUAGCCGGCCUGAGAGGGUGGACGGUCACACGGGGACUGAGACACGGCCCAGACUCCUACGGGAGGCAGCAGUGGGGAAUAGUGCACAAUGGGCGCAAGCCUGAUGCAGCGACGCCGCGUGAGGGAUGGAGGCCUUCGGGUUGUGAACCUCUUUCGCCAGUGAAGCAGGCCUGCCUCGUUUGUGGGUGGGUUGACGGUAGCUGGAGAAGAAGCGCCGGCUAACUACGUG